CAAAAACAUAGCCAUGUGUUAUUAUGCAUGGUGUUUUCUGCUCCAUGAGAUAUUAAAUAGCCGCAGUACCCUGACUGUGCAAAGGUAGCAUAAUCAUUUGUCUUUUAAUUGAAGUCUUGUAUGAAGAAUUUAUGGGGGGCAUUUAUACCACUACCAUAAAGCGAAAUUGCUAAGUAAGUGAAAAUUCUUAUAUGAUAACAAUAGACGAGAAGACCCUGGAAAUUUAUUAAUAGGUUUUGUUGGGGCAACAUUGGAGCAAUACAACCUCUCAUAUGUAUAUGAAAUAUAUUAGGUAACUUAAAUUACUCCAGGGAUAACAGCAUAAUUAAUAACUGUUUGUGACCUCGAUGUUGGAUUAGGAAGCUGCAGUUUAGAAGAUUAACAGCUAUGCUCUGUUCG
rnacentral:rRNA from 1 species